UUGAGUGGCGGACGGGUGAGUAACGCGUGGGUAACCUGCCCUGUACAGGGGGAUAACAGCUGGAAACGGCUGCUAAUACCGCAUAAGCGCACAGUACCGCAUGGUACGGUGUGAAAAACUCCGGUGGUAUGAGAUGGACCCGCGUCUGAUUAGGUAGUUGGUGGGGUAACGGCCUACCAAGCCGACGAUCAGUAGCCGACCUGAGAGGGUGACCGGCCACAUUGGGACUGAGACACGGCCCAAACUCCUACGGGAGGCAGCAUG
rnacentral:rRNA from 1 species